UCAGUCUUUGAGCUUCUAUUUAUUCACUGUGUUCUCUUGCUUUCAGUGACUGUAGGAAUCUUCUUGGCUUUAAGUGCAACCUCUAUGAUGCAGACGUCUCAAAUGUGGAAGAGAUAGGAAGACUGGUUAUGUCCCUGGGAAGGUCAGGUACAGAGGAAGAUUCCUGGAGAGAGGAGAGGAGCCCUGCAACAUGGCAGGAGGCUAAGGUCUGAGGAGGAAGAGAGCUGGUGAGAAUUUCCAAGGGUUCUGCACGGCUGGGAAGGCCUCAGGAAACUUAAAAUC
rnacentral:lncRNA from 13 species